rnacentral:rRNA from 1 species
CAAUAGCGUAUAUUUAAGUUGUUGCAGUUAAAAAGCUCGUAGUUGGAUUUCGGGUUGGCUUCAGCGGUCUCGCUUUGCGUUUGUACUGCUGCAGCCUACCUUCUUGUCGGGGACGGGCCUUCGGGCUUAAUUGCUUGGGGCCCGGAGUCGACGAUGUUACUUUGAGUAAAUUAGAGUGUUCAAAGCAAGCCUACGCUCUGAAUAUAAUAGCAUGGGAUAACACGACAGGACUCUGGCCUAUCGUGUUGGUCUGUAGGACCAGAGUAAUGAUUAAGAGGGACAGUCGGGGGCAUUCGUAUUCCGUUGUCAGAGGUGAAAUUCUUGGAUUUACGGAAGACGAACAUCUGCGAAAGCAUUUGCCAAGGAUGUUUUCAUUGA